AUUGAACGCUGGCGGCAGGCCUAACACAUGCAAGUCGAACGAGUGGCGGACGGGAGAGUAAUGUCUGGGAAACUGCCAGAUGGAGGGGGAUAACUACUGGAAACGGUAGCUAAUACCGCAUACCAUCAGAUGUGCCCAGCUGGGAUUAGCUUGUUGGUGGGGUAACGGCUCACCAGGGCGACGAUCCCUAGCUGGUCUGAGAGGAUGACCAGCCACCCUGGAACUUCACAACGGUCCAAACUCGUACGGGAGGCAGCAGUGGGGAAUAUUGCACAAUGGGCGCAAGCCUGAUGCAGCCAUGCCGGGUGUAUGAAGAAGGCCUUCGGGUUGUAAAGUACUUUCAGCGGGGAGGCGUUACCCGCAGAAGAAGCACCGGCUAACUCCGUGCCAGCAGCCGCGGUAAUUC
rnacentral:rRNA from 1 species